rnacentral:rRNA from 1 species
CAGGAUGAACGCUAGCGGCAGGCUUAACACAUGCAAGUCGAGGGGCAGCGAGUAGAUUGCUUGCAAUCUAUGUCGGCGACCGGCGCACGGGUGCGUAACGCGUAUGCAACCUACCCAUUACAGGGGGAUAACACUGAGAAAUCGGUACUAAUACCCCAUAACAUCCAGGGAGGCAUCUUCUUGGGUUGAAAACUCCGGUGGUAAUGGAUGGGCAUGCGUUGUAUUAGUUAGUUGGUGGGGUAACGGCUCACCAAGACAACGAUACAUAGGGGGACUGAGAGGUUAACCCCCCACAUUGGUACUGAGACACGGACCAAACUCCUACGGGAGGCAGCAGUGAGGAAUAUUGGUCAAUGGACGCAAGUCUGAACCAGCCAUGCCGCGUGCAGGAAGACGGCUCUAUGAGUUGUAAACUGCUUUUGUACGAGGGUAAACGCAGAUACGUGUAUCUGUCUGAAAGUAUCGUACGAAUAAGGAUCGGCUAACUCCGUGCCAGCAGCCGCGGUAAUACGGAGGAUUCAAGCGUUAUCCGGAUUUAUUGGGUUUAAAGGGUGCGUAGGCGGUCGGAUAAGUUAGAGGUGAAAUCCCGAGGCUCAACUUCGGAAUUGCCUCUGAUACUGUUCGGCUAGAGAGUAGUUGCGGUAGGCGGAAUGUAUGGUGUAGCGGUGAAAUGCUUAGAGAUCAUACAGAACACCGAUUGCGAAGGCAGCUUACCAAGCUACUUCUGACGUUGAGGCACGAAAGCGUGGGGAGCAAACAGGAUUAGAUACCCUGGUAGUCCACGCAGUAAACGAUGAUAACUCGUUGUCGGCGAUACAAUGUCGGUGACUAAGCGAAAGCGAUAAGUUAUCCACCUGGGGAGUACGUUCGCAAGAAUGAAACUCAAAGGAAUUGACGGGGGCCCGCACAAGCGGAGGAACAUGUGGUUUAAUUCGAUGAUACGCGAGGAACCUUACCCGGGCUUGAAAGUUAGUGACAGAUCUGGAAACAGGUCUUCCCUUCGGGGCACGAAACUAGGUGCUGCAUGGUUGUCGUCAGCUCGUGCCGUGAGGUGUCGGGUUAAGUCCCAUAACGAGCGCAACCCCUACCGUCAGUUGCCAGCAGGUCAAGCUGGGCACUCUGGCGGGACUGCCGGUGUAAGCCGAGAGGAAGGUGGGGAUGACGUCAAAUCAGCACGGCCCUUACGUCCGGGGCUACACACGUGUUACAAUGGCAGGUACAGAGGGCAGCUACCCAGCGAUGGGAUGCGAAUCUCGAAAGCCUGUCUCAGUUCGGAUUGGAGGCUGAAACCCGCCUCCAUGAAGUUGGAUUCGCUAGUAAUCGCGCAUCAGCCAUGGCGCGGU